rnacentral:lncRNA from 1 species
UGUAUGCUAAACACGCAAUUUGAACUUGAAUUAUCAGUUUUAGACUGAUUAAGAAACAAUGAAAUGAAGGAAUUUUAGUCCAUGAAAUGCUAUCAGAGUUCAAGCAAAAUCUGAAGUAACAAGAAUUUUGUCUCUCUCAAGAAGUCUUUGAAGCAUUUAGAGAUUCGCUUUAUCAUUUUUGAAUCUGAACAAAUUGCUAGCAAUAACUUCUGUUAGUCAACAUCUUUCAAGAAAUGCCGAGAAAAUUGCCAUGAAAUUUAUACAGGAUUGUAAUAAAGCAAGAAAUGAAAAAGUCCCAUUUAUUGUAGAAACAUAGAUGAAAGCUUGGGAUCAUAUACCAUCAUCUAGCAUCCAAAGAUCUUUUGAAGCUUGUGGAAUUACUAGCAAUGAUGACAACGAUUUCCAUGAAUUGUUAUAUGAGCUCAUAAUGAUGGGAACAUUGGCCAGAAUAGAAGUCAUUGAAUCAGAAGACAGCAACAUUGGAAGUGAUGCAGAAAAUGCAGAACUUGAUUCAGUUGGCAAAUACAGAACUUAGUGCGGUUUCACUCAGUGCUGACCCCACUAUAGUACGGUUAGUAAUUUGAGUAAUAAAUUUCAGUUAGUAUUGAUUGAUUCA